ensembl:lncRNA
CAUCACCACACAAAUCAAAGGCUUCUCUCUGGCUUCAAAAGGAACAGGAACAGGAUACUUUGUGUUGGGAGUUCUGCACUGAGCGGGAACUAUGCUGUGCCUGUUUGAGCUGACCCACUAGGAAGCCCACAGAUAAGGCACAGAAGCCCAUCUCACUCAAGCCCACAGUCAUGUGGAAGGAAAUGACUGCACGGAUGAUGGUGGCCACCAACAGGCCCUGUACCCGGGGAGGAAUGGUUUGUCUCAAAGAUUAUCCCAAGAUAGCAGGCUACAGAUCUAAGAGAGUGGAUCUUGUUGUUGAAAUUCCAGGCACUAUGGUAAGCUUUGGGGGGUUGGGGGGGGAUAUGCCUGGCAUUUCCCAAAGCCCACAACACAGGCCGCUGCCAAUCCUAUCCUCCCACUGGUACAACUGACUUUGGCAUCCGAACUUCAAAUUUGAGCUGCAGCCACUAUAGCAAGUCUGAUUGAAGGCUGCAUAUGUUAAGGAGACACGUUUGUGUUGCACAUCGUUAAUACCCAGAAACAGAAUAUCUUGCAAUCUCAGAAGAUUGCAAGGAAACCACUCACUGAAGUGCGCUUUGGAUAGUAAAAAUUUAAAAUAAUAACCAAAAUCUCCACCACACGAAAGAUAGUCUCUGUAAAUCACACGUUAAACCCCAAAGAGGUUGCUGUGGUACGGUUUGCCUGCGACGUGAAGGUAGGAACGCUGCCAGGUAAAAGCCAGCCGGGGCUACACAUAGAAAGACUCUGUCUCAUAAUACCAGCCAGGCAUGGUGGUACAUACUUGCAAUCUUAGCACUCAAGAGGUGGAGGCAGGAGGAUUGCUGCAAGUUUGAAGCCUGGGUUAUAUUGUAAAACCCUGUCUCAAACAAAACAAAACAAAACGAACUAAACUAAACUAAACCAAACCAAACCAAACUAAACUGGAACAAAACCAAAACAAAUCACAACAAAAAUCAAGGGCAGAGGAUUUGGUUCAGUGGCAAGGUGCGUGUCUGUCGUGCACAGGGUUCUGGGUUCAAUCCCGAGCCCUACAAAAGCAUAAGCAACAACGACAAGUCCAAAUGAAUUGUACGAUAUCACUGUCUUCUCUAAGAUUCGUAUGCAUGUCCAUCCUGGAAGAAACAAGAUGGUCACUGAGGCUAGAGAUGUGAAGAAGCCAUUCAGUCAGCAAGGGAAACCUGUCAUCUGACUAUGUUCCUGCCUAUGCUGCCACCGUGUUCAAGAUAGAUGAGAGCUGCCCAAACGGGGGAGAAUUCACACACAAAGCAAGAUAAUGCUGCUAAUCACAUAGCCCUGGGAAGCAAAUGAACUACCAUAGAACCCAAGAACAUUAAAGACAAGAAUCAACUACUGGAUAACGUACAGGAAGUUGUAGUUAACUAAUCACCAAGUCUGGUGGGAAGCACGGUGAUCCUGAUUUUUGAUAAGAAGCUUUGACCCAGGCUUAUCUGUUUAUCUGUCUAAAAAAACAAAAAAACAAAAAAACAAAAAAACAAAAAACAAACAAACAAAAAAAAAAACCAGCCUUGUGGGUGAAUAACUUUACCGGCCAAGUAAUGAUUAAAGGCAUUCUAGAACUGAGAGAAACUCUAGGAAAUUUAAUAAUAAUAAAAAAAAAAAGGUUUCAUGUGAGGCAGAACUCAUUCAACUUACUGACUUAUAGAUAGCAAGUCAUCCAUUCAAAUAGUUAAAACUUCAUAAGGCUCCAAAAGAAACUCUGCACACAUGUAAUAGCUAAUUCUGCUUAACAACAUUUGAAAUAUGACCCUCGUCAGAGAUUAGAAGCAGUCUAAUUAGAGCUGAGUGUUGAUAGGCUUAAAGUCGAGCACCGCGGUUUGUAAACGGGUCUUUUUGGACUGCAAAGUCAGGGUCCUGUUGUUUGGAAAUAAUAAAGUUAAGAUAGACGCAUCUCAAAAAUCCUGUUUCUAAAACGCUAGGCCUGGGUUGUACAUUGAGCCUUUAUCUUUGUCAAAAAAAAAAAAAAAAAAAAAAAAAAAAAGAGAGAGAGAGAGAGAGAGAGAGAGAGAGAGAGAGAGAGACAGAUACUGCUAUAAUUACCAACAGCAAGGGUUUUGAUAUCUAUGAUUUUAGAGAACAAUGUUUCUGAGUGAAUAGGAAAGCAGCAGCCACUCAGAGAAGGGAGUGAUUAUGACAUAUACAGCUGCAGUAUGUCCUCAGAAGACACCGCAUCCUGUUAACUCCGCAGCUGGCUUUAUCCGUGCCUAUUACCCCAGCCUGAUGAGCAGCUGGGCAGAUUUUUUACCUUCUUGGUUUGAGCUAAAUUUCACUUUCCCAUGGCAAUCCGAAAUGCCAAACGCUGUAUGAAGUGUCUGGCAGACAUUUUACUUAGUCUCUGCAGCGAUCCUUUGAAGCAAGGGCUAGCCUCCUGUUUUACAGACGAGGACAGCGAGCGAGGCUCGGGGAUUUUGAGAUGGUUAACACAAGGUCGCAGAGGAACCCCCCGGAGCAAUCUCAGAUCUGGGCCAGGCUUAUUCUAGUCCUUCCUUUGUCCUCCUUUUCUCCUUUUCCUCUUCUUUAAAGCAUCUCUUCUCCCCUUUUUUUGAAAAUUUGCUAUGUAUCCCAGCUGGCCUCACACUUGGUAUAUUUCUCUCGCUGCAGCUUCUCAAGGGAUGGGUUAUAUAGGUGUUAGCGACCAUGCCCGCCUCUAGCCUACUCUUCUUAACAUCUAUCCUUCAACCCUACUCAAUUUAAAAUAGAUAAAACCAUGGCAGUUUGUAGGGAGGUAGAAGGCUCAUGUCCUAUAGGAUCACAGUGUGGGGACAGUUUUCUGCAGGUCAGUUUGGCAAACAAUGUACAUUCUAACUUAGCAAUUAAUCUAAGGAUUUAAGAAAAUAAUCUCCAAGCUGCAUGGAGGGCCGUGGUUAUAGAAUUAUUAAAAAAAAAAAUAAACACAAAAUCCCUGAAACACUGUAAACAAACUUGUAUAAUACUGUGUAAAGGCAUCUAACCAUUAAUGAUGAAAUUAUAUUGUUCAGCAAAAGAUACCAGAGUACCAAUAAACAUAGUGUAAUUUUAUUUUUGUACAUAAAAUUGAAUAAUAAGAGUUGGGAAUCUAGCGCAGUCAGUAGAUUGCUUGCCUUAUACACACGAGGCUCUGGCUUCCUUCCCAGCAUAUAGGGGGAGGGUGCAAAAGUAUCACAACAAAAUUGAGUAUAUGUACAAAUCUACAUAUGUAUACAAUGUGUGGAAAGGUAUUCACUAUAAUUUUAUCUGGCUCACCAGUUGUUUUUUUCUUCAUUUCAUGUAUAUGUGUAGUGUGUGCACAGAUAUAAGUAUUAGGGCAUGCCUGUGAAUGCACACAUGGAUGCUUGAAUAACAGUCAGGUGUUUUCCUAUAUCACUGUCUCGACAAAAGACAGGGUCUCUCACUGACCCAGAACCUCACCAUUAGACUGGUUAGGCAGUGAGCUCCUGGGAUCUGCUGGUCUCUGCCCCCCAUUGUUGAAACUUAGGCAUACAUGUUUACAUGUGUUUCUGUUGUUGUUUGCUUUUGUUUGGAAUGGGUGUUGGGGACUCAAACUCAGGUUUGCAAACUCAAAAAGCAAAUGUUCUUACCCACUUAACUUUUUCCCUGUCCUCUUUAUUUUUUUUAAAAAACUCUCCUUAUUUAUAUAUGAGUCAGUAUCAUUGUUAUAAAACAAAACUAUUUGAAAAAGCCAACAGUUAAGUCAGCUCUUGCCUUAACAACUAAAGUGCUUGAUGUAUACUAGCCAUGUG